AUUUUAUCUAUAUAACAGAAAAAGAACAAAGGAUCUUGUUGAGAGGUGAAGCCAGCUGGACUUCUGAGCACAGUUUUUAAAGUAUCUAGUGUAUAUAAGGACAAGCCAUUCUCAGUCAAGCAUGAAACUGAAUCUGAGGAAAAGAAGAAAGCUGAAAACACACUGAGGAUUAUGGGAGAGGGGCAAGUGCAUGAAGCUUCUCAAUGACAUACAGACACUCUAAAAGCUCAAGAGAUCAAUUAUUCAACUUCAAGAACUGAAAUUUGAACACAGAUUUUGAGCUUCCAAAUCAGGAGAAAAAGAAGUGUUCUAUAAGAAGUUUGGACAAGACUCUGCAAGAAGUUAAGAGGUCCUUAAAGGCAACUGUGAAUUAACGGAGACUAGUUUUGAGAAAAUCAGUCCUGAUUUGUUUCUCCUGGAGUUUUCUUCUUUAUGUGAUCCUUCAUAAAAGCUGCUAAUAUGGGAAAGAUUGAAAUCAGCAAGUUUCUGGCUGUAAGCUAAAAGAGGCUCUUGAAUCAUAUUUCCGCCUGCUUAGCAAAUUUCUCUUGCGACAAUUGGAUGUUAUUUGGGGUUCCAUACUAGCAGGAAGAAGUACAAGCAAAGCUAAGUCAUUUUGAGAAUAAAUAUUAUCUCUCUAUAUAUUUGUAAAUGUUAUUUUCUUUUUUUUUGAGGUUUAUGAUUGAUCCUUGGCAUGUGUCCCCUUGUGUAUUGCUCUACUAAAAAUAGCCUAAAAAAGAAUUUUCCCCUCGAUGUGGAGCUUCUCUUUAGUUACAAUUCUACUUUCUCCUUCACUUGAGUAUCAGUCUUCAGAGAACUACCAUAACAAAGGAGUGGAUACAGAUAUACGCAAAAAAGUCUAUGAGAAAAUUAGUACAUUAAAUUUGUGAAAGCUCAUUUAAAGUAAUUUUCUACUAACAAUUUUAAUCAAAUGUAUUAAUCAUAUUUCUAUGCUUAGUGAUGUUAAAUAAAAAUUUAAAAGGUGGCAAUCAAUAAACAGAGAUAAAAGCUUCUCAAGAAUAAAUGAAAGGAAGUAAUAAAAAGACUCACUAAGCUGAAUUGCCUCCUAUCAACAGCAGCUGAUAAAAUAUUAAAAGAUUUGCCUUGUGUAAUGUCUCUGGAGAGCUGUCUUACUGAUGUACGAGGCCAUGAUUGACAACUUUGAGACUUUGCUGGAAGCGACAAAAGUAUAUCUAUAAUAUUAUGCUGAAUUGCAUAGGUCUUUCUUCUUAAAUGAGGCUAGAAAUAACAUACCACCAAGUGUUUGGCUUUUAGGAAAUUGAGCAUUUUCUUUAGUUCUAGCUGCAGUUUAAUUUCCUCAGAAUUAGACAUUAUGCGGUAUCUGGAACGUUAAAAAAAAAAAAAAGCAAAAACAGAGUAUUGUACCUAAUGAUAUGUCAAAUAAUUUUGGAGGAAUUAAGAAAUCACUGGAAGAAAUUACAUGGGUGGGUAAUGGUUUUUAUGUCACAAUAAAUAAUUAGUAAUAUUUACUGACACAUUUCAUGUGCCUGGUACUGAGCUAAAUGAUUUAUGUGCAUUGUUUGUAUUAAGCCCCCAAAAUUCUGUGGUAUAUGUAAUGAUAUUUCCAUUUUUCUUGAGAUAAGGAACUGAAACUCAGAAAAGUUAAGGAACUUGUCCAAGAUUAUAGUAAGUGGCUUAGUUCAAUUUUGAAUCUAGAUCAAUCUGACUCCAACCAGCAUGAUGAACUGAAACUGACUAUGAGGCUGGUGACACUCUAGGCAUUUAUUCACAAGAGGUAUUGUGAUGACAUGUGAGAGAAUGUUGGAUGAAGGAAGCACAUACUAGAAAGAUAGGAAAGACCAGAAAACACAGGGAAGUGCUAUUUAUUUGCUUUCCUAGUUCCAGUAACUUGGUCUAAUGGGGAGGAUGAAAGUAGACAGAUACCUGAAAACACUUUGAGAUUUAUGUAUAAGCAGCAUGACUUCAGUGACCAAGCCACACAGAAUCUGGGAGUGGAACAUUUUCUUUGGUCAUUAUGCCACUGCGGCAUGGUUUGUUAGUGCAGUGAGAACUAAAGUAUAGUGUGGUAACCUGAAACUGUUAUGGUUAUGGGUACACCUGGGUGGGUAGCUGUUCACCCCUUCACAGAGGGUAGGAGUGGUGAUAGCAAAGUAGCUCUUCGCAGUAACUUUCAGAACAUAGACAUUAUGUAAGAUCUGAAGUUUGAAAACCUGAAACAAAAGCAGAGCAUUAUAUCCAAGCACAUUGGAGACAACUGUGGAGGAAUCAAGGAACAUCUAGCAGAGAUUUAAUGUUUUAGGGACUGUUUUUUAUUUCAGAAGGUAAUAAGUGUAAAACAGUCAAACUCUAGGCAUAGGGAUGAACAUUAUUUUGUGUCAUAAAUUUGUCUAAUAUAGUUGCUGCUUCAGCAUCCAGUUUUGGCUUGUCAUGGUCAAGGUGACCAGUCAUGCCCUGUCACCUUUGGUUUUAUUAAAAUUUUCCCUCCUUUAGUGGUUAUUUGUGAUAUAGCCCUGUUGUUCCCCAUCUCACUGACCCCAAAUUCAACACAUGCCACAGCUGCUGGCCACAGUGAAAACUAAUGAUCAACACCAGUCAUGUGAAUAAGACGUCCCUUCAUGUGUUUUCUUUAAGCUAGCCUAUCCACAGCCCCAUGGGAAAGCCUAAAGAAUAGUACCUGUGGAUUAUAAUAAAGACGUCUUACUGGUUCUUGCUCUCUAUCCCUCUCUCUACACACUGGUCAAGUACACUCUUGUCUCCAGACUUCCCAUUGGCCUCCUGUCAACACCUGUACCCACUCUGGACCUGGGAAUAAUAAACUUCUUUUUUUUUUUAAUGUAUUUUGGUUUCACUUCCUCAUUGUAUCUCACCUGACACACACAUACUAUAGUGUUCUCAAUAUUAUUUAAUGUGUUUAACAAAUCAUAACAGAUAAUAUAUGAUUGACACUGUGCCUCCUGAUUUGAUGCAAUAUGGACUAUUCCACAUCACUGAUGAAGUAGUCAUACAAAAAAUAUUUAUCUUGAAUCAAAGCAAGAUUUUAUACCAAAAUUCUAGUUCAAGUUACCUGAUAGAGGAACAUAUUAAACAAUACUAUGUGUAAACAAUACUAUGUGUAAACAAUCAGAAAAAUAAUAGAUUGUAGCCUUCAAAAAACGAUGGCCUUACAAAACAAAUAAACAAAAAGUUUGUGUGGGUGUGUACAUGCAAGGGCUAAUCUCAAAUGCAGAAAGACCAGAAUACAAUAACAAAUAUAAUUCUUGAAAGUGGAUUUCAUCUUGGUUUACCAAAAAUAGCUAUGAGGGAAAUUUGGGUAAGAAUUAGAGAAUUCUGAAUAUAGAAUGAAUUAAAACAUAUUAUGAAUUAAGUUAAUAUUUUUGAUGUUUUCUUUUGAUAUGUUCUUUUAGAAUAUGUAAUAUCCCUAUUUAUUGGAGAUGUGUGCUAAAUUAUUUACAAAUAUUUGGGUAUCUGAAAUUUACUUUCAAAUGCACCAAAAAUAAUAGCUAUACAAAAAGAAAUACAUUAAAUUUACUCUAUAGUAGUAGUUAUUCUUUCUGAGAGGUUUACACAGUAUUUUCCUGUUCUUUUGUAUGUAUGUAUUUUUAAAAGAACGUAGGCCUGGCGCAGUGGCUCACGCCUAUAAUCCCAGCACUUUGGGAGGCCGAGGUGGGCGGAUCACGUGGUCAGGAGAUCGAGACCAUCCUGGCUAACACGGUAAAACCCCGUCUCUACUAAAAACACAAAAACAAAAUUAGCCAGGCGUGGUGGCGGGCGCCUGUAGUCCCAGCUAAUCAGGAGGCUGAGGCAGGAGAAUGGCGUGAACCCGGGAGGCGAAGCUUGCAGUGAGCCGAGAUCAUGCCACUGCACUCCAGCCUGGGCGACAGAGCGAGACUCCGUCUCAAAAAAAACAAAAACGAAAACAAAAACAACAUAAAUAAAUUGAUAAUAUAUCUAUUUUGAUACAGUCAUGGUUAACAUAAAUAAUCCUGGUUAUAUCCAUAUAAAACCAUGAAUAUACAGUAAUAAAUAUUAUAAUUACAAGUAAAUCACCAUAAAUAAAUUCUGUUUUCAAUGUUUCUACU
rnacentral:lncRNA from 1 species